UAAUGCCUAGGAAUCUGCCUGGUAGUGGGGGAUAACGCUCGGAAACGGACGCUAAUACCGCAUACGUCCUACGGGAGAAAGCAGGGGACCUUCGGGCCUUGCGCUAUCAGAUGAGCCUAGGUCGGAUUAGCUAGUUGGUGAGGUAAUGGCUCACCAAGGCGACGAUCCGUAACUGGUCUGAGAGGAUGAUCAGUCACACUGGAACUGAGACACGGUCCAGACUCCUACGGGAGGCAGCAGUGGGGAAUAUUGGACAAUGGGCGAAAGCCUGAUCCAGCCAUGCCGCGUGUGUGAAGAAGGUCUUCGGAUUGUAAAGCACUUUAAGUUGGGAGGAAGGGCAGUUACCUAAUACGUAUCUGUUUUGACGUUACCGACAGAAUAAGCACCGGCUAACUCUGUGCCAGCAGCCGCGGUAAUACAGAGGGUGCAAGCGUUAAUCGGAAUUACUGGGCGUAAAGCGCGCGUAGGUGGUUUGUUAAGUUGGAUGUGAAAUCCCCGGGCUCAACCUGGGAAC
rnacentral:rRNA from 1 species